AUUGAACGCUGGCGGCAGGCCUAACACAUGCAAGUCGAACGAGUGGCGGACGGGUGAGUAAUGUCUGGGAAACUGCCUGAUGGAGGGGGAUAACUACUGGAAACGGUAGAUAAUACCGCAUACCAUCGGAUGUGCCCAGAUGGGAUUAGCGAGUAGGUGGGGUAAAGGAUCACCUAGGCGACGAUCCCUAGCUGGUCUGAGAGGAGGACACGCGACCUUGUAAGGGUGACAAGGUACAGACUCCUACGUGAGGCAGCAGUGGGGAAUAUUUCACAAUGUGCGAAAGCCUGAGGCAGCCAUGCCGCGUGUAUGAAGAAGGCCUUCGGGUUGUAAAGUACGUGCAGCGGGGAGGCGUGACCCGCAGAAGAAGCACCUGCUAACUCCGUGCUAGCAGCCGCGGUAAUAC
rnacentral:rRNA from 1 species